rnacentral:lncRNA from 1 species
UAAGAUUUGCUUUAGGAUGUCUGGGUCAAAUGUAUCUGAACUAAUGCAUUCAAAAUAAAUUUAAAAUUCUCAGCAUUCUAACUUAAAUACCGAAAAUAUUGUAUAAACAUAAUAAAAUAUUAAAUUCUAUAGUUAGUUAUAUUUGCAAAGGAAAGAGAAAUAGGCAAUAAAUUGAUUUGAAUUUGCCGAGGGCCCAGGAAAGAAAAUAUUUCAUGUUUGAAUUUGUUUGUGGAUUCACAUCGUAAAUACUGUUAAGCAUUAGUCAUAGAUAAACUAAGAGAAAUUGUACAGACAGACAGUAGCAAUGAUUUUUAUCUAGGCCUGGAAAUGGUCCAUAUAGGAACAAUGGCCUAAAAGAUAUGUUUUUGUAGCAUUUAUUCUCUUACACCUGAAUGGUCGAAAUGUGGCCAAUAAUUCAGGAAAUAAAUGAGGUCAGAAACAAUAUCUUCCAGGAUCUAACUCCCUAAAGCCAUUAAAAAGGUGGAUUUUAUUUUUGUUUUCGGGUUUUAAAACUGUAAAUUAGGACCUUUAUAUUAACAAAAUUUAGGUUUGCAUUUUAUUUUACACAAUACCGGGAGAAACUCCACUGGGACAAGAGCACAAACACAAAAAAACAGAGUUAAGAUCCUCUUCUCUUGUGUGACUGAGAAAAAAAUCAAACAAACAAAAACCCACCAGAAAUGGGAAUGGGUUGAAGCACUGAAGUUUGUCACAGAUGCUCUUCCUUCCAGUAACCAUCUUGUUGUUGUACUGGUGGCCUCUUCUCACAGUGGCCUGAGUCCUUCACAAAGCAAAAGGGGUCUAAGGCUUCAAAACAGUCCUGUUUACAUUAGCAUAAUUCAUAUUACAUAAUGAGAGCACAGUAAUACUUCCCAACCUAAUCUUACUUGUUUACAACAGUCAUAAACUCUGGCUUCUGAAAGCUUAAUCAGUUAAAAAAUACAUUUUCUAAAUAGAAAUGAAAUAUGUAAUAUGAGAGAAUUUAAAAAGUAAGAAAGCAAAUACAGGAUUUAAUCAUCUGAUUGCUAAGAUUAAGUCCAGUGUGGUUCUUAAUUCAUAGUAGUUCUAUACUUUUAAAAUUAAUUAUUUUCAAUUUCUUUUAUAAAUAAUCAUCCAACUUAAUGUCCAUUACAAAAUUUUCCUGCUAUGAAAUUCUGUAAUAAGCAGUUUUCCAACAAAACAACCCAGGUGGACAAUUAGAGAGCUUUGGUGCAGAGAACCAUGGGAGUCCUCUGACAAUCACAACUUUCAUCUAGUGGUCUGAAAUUAGAGCUUCUCGGGAUAAUUUAGGAACAGCUUGACCCAUUGAGACACUCAGAGACAACCCUACUGGGAAAUAGUGUGUUUCCUUCCAGGGAGUAAGAUGCUAGCGCAGGGAACCGAAGCAUCUGGUGUCAACAACGCUAGAGCGCCCUCUGCUGUUCACAAAGAAAUAGCACUGUGGUUUCAGAAGCCAGAUGGUAAGAGUUUCAAUAAGGCCAGGCAGCAUUAAGCUCUUAGGAUCAUUUCAUCUGUGGAGUUUAAAAGCUUCCAUCAUAUUCUCCGUCCGAAAAGGCUACCCGAUCUUUAUCAGGACUGCUCCUGGGAUGGUUACCUUCUAUUCUAGAGGGAGCGAGAGGUCAUUGUUUGAAGCAGAUUGUCGAUUCUAUUGGUUGUAUUUCUAUGUCCCUUCUUUUAGCAGUUUUAUAAAAAAUAUGAAAUUGUAAAUCUGAGGGCAGAACCCUUCUUUUAGGCAACAGAAAAAGAAAUAUUUUUCUUCAGUUUUGUACAUAACUGGGAUUUUUGUGAAAUAAAAUAUUUGAAUUAGAAAAAAGGUACCAAGCACAAGGUGUGUACUUAUUUUUGCAGGAUGUUGAAACAAAAUGCCUUACAUAAAGAAUGACUGUGCUGCUUCUGUAUUGCUAUGAACUUCGAUUUUAAAGAUAGACUUUGACUAAGAAAGUGAGUUACAUUGCGGAAGAAGCUGGUGUUUGAGUCAAGUUAAUUUAUCCCAAAUUCCACCAUCUUCCUAGUAAACACUCACCUGGCAAAAAUGUCAGGAAGUAGAACAUUACAAGUAGAAACAUCAUGGAUGCAGAAAUGGAUGCGAUGUGUGCACACUUCUAGGUGAAGUCAUUUAUGUUUUUGGUAUGUAUGGAAAAAAAUCUAUUAUGAAGUAAAAAAGAGGCAUGUUGGAAAGUUCAAACAUUUUUGAAUUUUAUGUCUUACUGGGCUUAUAUUGAAUAAAAUAAUGUAUAACUGAAUUACUGUAACACCAUGUUAGAUGCUCCAGCCUAUCGUGAAGCAGACAUAUCUUUGCUAUAAAAACUGUGACUCGCUACAUCAGAGCUGGUGUAAUAAAAUGCCUCUAAUGAUGUAGUUGUUAAAUAAAUGUUCUAAAAUAAAGAUCAGUCUAUUUUGUGAUGUCAGAAUGAAAGAGAUGUUUAAUUUUUACUAGAUUUUAAAAUAAAGCUCAUAAAAAUA